GACAGAGGGUGCAAACGUUGUUCGGAAUUACUGGGCGUAAAGCGAGUGUAGGCGGUUUGGUAAGUCGGAUGUGAAAGCCCCGGGCUCAACCCGGGAAGUGCACUCGAUACUACCAAGCUAGAGUAUCGGAGAGGUUGGUGGAAUUCUCGGUGUAGAGGUGAAAUUCGUAGAUAUCGAGAGGAACACCGGUGGCGAAGGCGGCCAACUGGACGAAUACUGACGCUGAGGCGCGAGAGCGUGGGGAGCAAACUGG
rnacentral:rRNA from 1 species